UACGAGGGGAGCAAGCGUUGUUCGGAUUUACUGGGCGUAAAGGGCGCGUAGGCGGUCGUGACAAGUCACUUGUGAAAUCUCCGGGGUUAACUCGGAACGGUCAAGUGAUACUGUCGGACUAGAGUACAGAAGGGGCAACUGGAAUUCUCGGUGUAGCGGUGAAAUGCGUAGAUAUCGAGAGGAACACCUGCGGCGAAGGCGGGUUGCUGGGCUGAUACUGACGCUGAUGCGCGAAAGCCAGGGGAGCGAACGGG
rnacentral:rRNA from 1 species